CCUACGGGAUGCAGCAGUGGGGAAUAUUGGACAAUGGGCGAAAGCCUGAUCCAGCCAUGCCGCGUGUGUGAAGAAGGCCUUCGGGUUGUAAAGCACUUUCAGUGGGGAAGAAAGCCUUGGGGCUAAUACCCUCGAGGAAGGACAUCACCCACAGAAGAAGCACCGGCUAACUCCGUGCCAGCAGCCGCGGUAAUACGGAGGGUGCGAGCGUUAAUCGGAAUUACUGGGCUUAAAGCGCGCGUAGGCGGUCUGAUAAGCCGGUUGUGAAAGCCCCGGGCUUAACCUGGGAACGGCAUCCGGAACUGUCAGGCUAGAGUGCAGGAGAGGAAGGUAGAAUUCCCGGUGUAGCGGUGAAAUGCGUAGAUAUCGGGAGGAAUACCAGUGGCGAAGGCGGCCUUCUGGAAUGACACUGACGCUGAGGUGCGAAAGCGUGGGUAGCAAACAGGAUUAGAUACCCCUGUAGUC
rnacentral:rRNA from 1 species